UACGUAGGGUGCAAGCGUUAAUCGGAAUUACUGGGCGUAAAGCGUGCGCAGGCGGUUUUGUAAGUUUGUCGUGAAAUCCCCGGGCUCAACCUGGGAAUGGCGAUGAAGACUGCAAGGCUAGAAUCUGGCAGAGGGGGGGUAGAAUUCCACGUGUAGCAGUGAAAUGCGUAGAGAUGUGGAGGAACACCAAUGGCGAAGGCAGCCUUCUGGGCCAACACUGACGCUGCA
rnacentral:rRNA from 1 species